UGGGGAAUUUUGGACAAUGGGCGAAAGCCUGAUCCAGCAAUGCCGCGUGUGUGAAGAAGGCCUUCGGGUUGUAAAGCACUUUUGUCCGGAAAGAAAUCCUUGGCUCUAAUACAGUCGGGGGAUGACGGUACCGGAAGAAUAAGCACCGGCUAACUACGUGCCAGCAGCCGCGGUAAUACGUAGGGUGCAAGCGUUAAUCGGAAUUACUGGGCGUAAAGCGUGCGCAGGCGGUUUGCUAAGACCGAUGUGAAAUCCCCGGGCUCAACCUGGGAACUGCAUUGGUGACUGGCAGGCUAGAGUAUGGCAGAGGGGGGUAGAAUUCCACGUGUAGCAGUGAAAUGCGUAGAGAUGUGGAGGAAUACCGAUGGCGAAGGCAGCCCCCUGGGCCAAUACUGACGCUCAUGCACGAAAGCGUGGGGAGCAAACAGGAUUAGAUACCCUGGUAGUCCACGCCCUAAACGAUGUCAACUAGUUGUUGGGGAUUCAUUCCUUAGUAACGUAGCUAACGCGUG
rnacentral:rRNA from 1 species